rnacentral:rRNA from 1 species
AUGGCGAGCCGGCUGUGGAGGUGGUACGCGGACCGGCAGUUCCACAAGUGGGAGAAGACGGUGCUGUGGGACAUGGUGGAGCCCUACCGCCCGCCGCGCUCCUUCGCGCCGCUCGUCGGCACCUACGUCGCCGCCUUCUACACCGCCAUCGUCGGCGCCGCCGUCACCGAGCAGCUCUACAAGGAGAAGUACUGGGAGGAUCAUCCGGGCGAGGCGGUGCCGAUCAUGCCGCCCAUGUUCUACUGGGGGCCAUGGAGGGUGGUGAACGGAGAGGUUCCCCGCUUCAUCCAGACGCCCGAGGAAGCUAAGCCGGCAUAG